rnacentral:rRNA from 1 species
AUUGAACGCUGGCGGCAGGCCUAACACAUGCAAGUCGAACGAGUGGCGGACGGGUGAGUAAUGUCUGGGAAACUGCCUGAUAGAGGGGGAUAACUACUGGAAACGGUAGCUAAUACCGCAUACCAUCUGAUGUGCCCAGAUGGGAUUAGCUAGUAGGUGGGGUAAAGGCUCACCUAGGCGACGAUCCCUAGCUGGUCUGAGAGGAUGACAAGCCACAUGGGAACUGAGACACGGUCCAGACUCCUACGGGAGGCAGCAGGGGGGAAUAUUGCACAAGGGGGGCAAGCCUGAUGCAGCCAUGCCGCGUGUAUGAAGAAGGCCUUCGGGUUGUAAAGUACUUUCAGCGGGGAGGCGUUACCCGCAGAAGAAGCACCGGCUAACUCCGUGCCAGCAGCCGCGGUAAUUC